rnacentral:rRNA from 1 species
UCAGGCCUAACACAUGCAAGUCGAGCGAGGACUUCGGUCCUAGCGGCGGACGGGUGAGUAACGCGUGGGAACGUGCCCUUUGCUUCGGAAUAGCCCUGGGAAACUGGGAGUAAUACCGGAUGAGCCCUACGGGGGAAAGAUUUAUCGGCGAAGGAUCGGCCCGCGUUGGAUUAGGUAGUUGGUGGGGUAAUGGCCUACCAAGCCGACGAUCCAUAGCUGGUUUGAGAGGAUGAUCAGCCACACUGGGACUGAGACACGGCCCAGACUCCUACGGGAGGCAGCAGUGGGGAAUCUUAGAAAGGGGGGGAAACCCUGAUCUAGCCAUGCCGCGGACGUGAAGAGGGCCUUAGGGUUGUAAAGCUCUUCAGCUGGAAGAUAAUG